AUUGAACGCUGGCGGCAGGCCUAACACAUGCAAGUCGAGCGGAUGAAGGGAGCUUGCUCCUGGAUUCAGCGGCGGACGGGUGAGUAAUGCCUAGGAAUCUGCCUGGUAGUGGGGGAUAACGUCCGGAAACGGGCGCUAAUACCGCAUACGUCCUGAGGGAGAAAGUGGGGGAUCUUCGGACCUCACGCUAUCAGAUGAGCCUAGGUCGGAUUAGCUAGUUGGUGGGGUAAAGGCCUACCAAGGCGACGAUCCGUAACUGGUCUGAGAGGAUGAUCAGUCACGCUGGAACUGAGACCCGGUCCAGACUCCUGCGGGAGGCAGCAGUGGGGAAUAUUGGACAAUGGGCGAAAGCCUGAUCCAGCCAUGCCGCGUGUGUGAAGAAGGUCUUCGGAUUGUAAAGCACUUUAAGUUGGGAGGAAGGGCAGUAAGUUAAUACCUUGCUGUUUUGACGUUACCAACAGAAUAAGCACCGGCUAACUUCGU
rnacentral:rRNA from 1 species